UACGUAGGGUGCAGGCGUUAAUCGGAAUUACUGGGCGUAAAGCGUGCGCAGGCGGUUUGUUAAGACAGGUGUGAACUCCCCGAGCUCAACUUGGGAAUUGCGCUUGUGACUGCAAGACUAGAGUGCGGCAGAGGGGGGUAGAAUUCCACGUGUAGCAGUGAAAUGCGUAGAUAUGUGGAGGAAUACCGAUGGCGAAGGCAGCCCCCUGGGUCGACACUGACGCUCAUGCACGAAAGCGUGGGGAGCAAACAGG
rnacentral:rRNA from 1 species